GUAGGUGAACCUGCGGAGGGAUCAUUACUGAGUUUUUAACUCUCCAAACCAUGUGAACUUACCACUGUUGCCUCGGUGGUCGGUGCUGGAAACAGUGCUGCCACCGGUGGACUACUAAACUCUUGUUAAUUUUUGUCAAAUCUGAAUCAAAACUAAGAAAUAAGUUAAAACUUUCAACAACGGAUCUCUUGGUUCUGGCAUCGAUGAAGAACGCAGCGAAAUGCGAUAAGUAAUGUGAAUUGCAGAAUUCAGUGAAUCAUCGAAUCUUUGAACGCACAUUGCGCCCAUUAGUAUUCUAGUGGGCAUGCCUGUUCGAGCGUCAUUUCAACCCUUAAGCCUAGCUUAGUGUUGGGAGACUGCCUAAUACGCAGCUCCUCAAAACCAGUGGCGGAGUCUGUUCGUGCUCUGAGCGUAGUAAUUUUUUAUCUCGCUUCUGCAAGCCGGCCAGACGACAGCCAUAAACCGCACCCUCUCGGGGGGCACUUUUUUAAUGGUUGACCUCGGAUCAGGUAGGAAUACCCGCUGAACUUAAGCAUAUCAAUAAGCGG
rnacentral:rRNA from 1 species